GGACAACCCUGAUGCUAGCGAGGAUGCUAGGAUGGAUUUUGUGUUCAAAUAAGCAGGUGUUUUGGAAGGCAGCGAUGGCCCCUCCGGUGACGAACCCAGCCAGGACAUCGUUCCAGUGGUUUCUGUGUUCAGUCACCCUCACCACCCCCACCAGCACGGCCAGAGACAGCAGCACCAGGCACAAGCAACAGUCACAGAAUUCUACUAAAUCCCCAGUCCUCAAGCAAACAUGCCCCCGCAUCUUACAAACGGAAG